rnacentral:rRNA from 1 species
GAUGAACGCUGGCGGCGUGCCUAAUACAUGCCAGUCGAGCGAACAGACGAGGAGCUUGCUCCUCUGACGUUAGCGGCGGACGGGUGAGUAACACGUGGAUAACCUACCUAUAAGACUGGGAUAACUUCGGGAAACCGGAGCUAAUACCGGAUAAUAUAUUGAACCGCAUGGUUCAAUAGUGAAAGACGGUUUUGCUGUCAAUUAUAGAUGGAUCCGCGCCGCAUUAGCUAGUUGGUAAGGUAACGGCUUACCAAGGCAACGAUGCGUAGCCGACCUGAGAGGGUGAUCGGCCACACUGGAACUGAGACACGGUCCAGACUCCUACGGGAGGCAGCAGUAGUGAAUCUUCCGCAAUGGGCGAAAGCCUGACGGAGCAACGCCGCGUGAGUGAUGAAGGUCUUCGGAUCGUAAAACUCUGUUAUUAGGGAAGAACAAAUGUGUAAGUAACUAUGCACGUCUUGACGGUACCUAAUCAGAAAGCCACGGCUAACUACGUG